AUUGAACGCUGGCGGCAGGCCUAACACAUGCAAGUCGAGCGAGCGGCGGACGGGUGAGUAAUGUCUGGGAAAAUGCCUGUUGGAGGGGGAUAACUACUGGAAACGGUAGCUAAUAUAGCAUACCAUAAGAUGUGUCCAGAUGUGAUUAGCUAGUAGGUGGGGUAAUGGCUCACCAAGGCGACGAUCCCUAGCGGGUCUGAGAGGAUGACCAGCCACACUGGAACUGAGACACGGUCCAGACGCCUACGGGAGGCAGCAGUGGGGAAUAUUGCACAAUGGGCGCAAGCCUGAUGCAGCCAUGCCGCGUGUAUGAAGAAGGCCUUCGGGUUGUAAAGCACUUUCAGCGGGGAGGCGUUACCCGCAGAAGAAGCACCGGCUAACUCCGUGCCAGCAGCCGCGGUAAUAC
rnacentral:rRNA from 1 species